UACAGAGGAUGCAAGCGUUAUCCGGAAUGAUUGGGCGUAAAGCGUCUGUAGGUGGCUUUUUAAGUCCGCCGUCAAAUCCCAGGGCUCAACUCUGGACAGGCGGUGGAAACUACCAAGCUGGAGUACGGUAGGGGCAGAGGGAAUUCCGGUGGAGCGGUGAAAUGCGUAGAGAUGUGGAGGAAUACCGAUGGCGAAGGCAGCCCCCUGGAUAACACUGACGCUCAUGCACGAAAGCGUGGGAGGCAAGAGAA
rnacentral:rRNA from 1 species